rfam:Schistosoma rodhaini strain Burundi genome assembly, scaffold: SROB_scaffold0026194
GUACUGCUGAGGAGUCGCAUAAUAAGACGAAACGGCUGUCUAGUGC